UACGGAGGGUGCGAGCGUUAUUCGGAAUGACUGGGCGUAAAGCGCACGCAGGCGGUUUUUUAAGUGAGAUGUGAAAGCCCCGGGCUUAACCUGGGAAUUGCAUUUGAAACUGGGUAACUAGAGUAUGUUAGAGGGAGGUGGAAUUUCCAGUGUAGCAGUGAAAUGCGUAGAGAUGGGGAGGAACACCGAUGGCGAAGGCAGCCCUCUGGGGCUAUACUGACGCUCAUGUGCGAAAGCGUGGGGAGCAAACAGG
rnacentral:rRNA from 1 species